ACAACUCCCAGAUUCUGCAAGCGAGCAAAUUACAGUUACUGUCUUCUCCCUCAUUCGAGGAGAAGUAGCAGUUAACAAUUGGACUAGAGCCGCAAUAUUGCUUCGACCUAGGACAGCCAAAACAUUUUUCUCAUCUUCUUUCAUGACUUCAAGAAGGUUAUCAAGGGCCUUAUGUUUAGCCUCCAAGUGUCCAAUCUGAAGCCGAGCAAGCAAUUCUCGUAAAUUUCCAUGUACUGCUACCUCAGGUGCCGCGGAUGUGCUUGCAACAGAUGACGGCAAAGUAACCUCACCAAGCACUCCAGACUUGAUUAAGAGCCCACAAUCACGCAAGUUCAAAUCCAAUCUCCCUGACAAUGCAUCUAAAUCACUUUGCAUCCGAAGUUUUCCCUCAUACUUCUCUUUCAUGCACUUCUCUG
rnacentral:misc_RNA from 1 species